rnacentral:rRNA from 1 species
UGAGUAAUACAUCGGAACGUGUCUUCUAGUGGGGGAUAACUGCCCGAAAGGGCAGCUAAUACCGCAUGAGACCUGAGGGUGAAAGCGGGGGAUCGCAAGACCUCGCGCUGGAAGAGCGGCCGAUGUCCGAUUAGCUAGUUGGUGGGGUAAAGGCUCACCAAGGCGACGAUCGGUAGCUGGUCUGAGAGGACGACCAGCCACACUGGGACUGAGACACGGCCCAG